rnacentral:rRNA from 1 species
CCUACGGGAGGCAGCAGUGAGGAAUUUUCUGCAAUGGGCGAAAGCCUGACAGAGCAAUACCGCGUGAGGGAAGAAGGCUUACUGAGUUGUAAACCUCGGUGCCUUAAGGAAGAAGAUCUGACGGUACUUAAGGUGGAAAGCAUCGGCUAACCCCGUGCCAGCAGCCGCGGUAAGACGGGGGAUGCAAGUGUUAUCCGGAAUCACUGGGCGUAAAGCGUCUGCAGGUGGUUUCCUAAGUCCACUGUUAAACCUUGAGGCUCAACCUCAAAUCUGCAGUGGAAACUAGGGAACUUGAGGAUAGUAGGGGUAGAGGGAAUUUCCAGUGGAGCGGUGAAAUGCGUAGAUAUUGGAAAGAACACCGAUGGCGAAGGCACUCUACUGGGCUAUGACUGACACUCAGAGACGAAAGCUAGGGGAGCAAAUGGGAUUAGAUACCCCAGUAGUCCUAGCCGUAAACGAUGGAUACUCGAUGUUGGACGUAUCGACCCGUUCAGUAUCUUAGCUAACGCGUUAAGUAUCCCGCCUGGGGAGUACGCUCGCAAGAGUGAAACUCAAAGGAAUUGA